CGCUUGGGGGCCUCUGGGUGGAAGCUCUACUCGAAAUCUGCAAAACGCCCCGCUGCCUGGGAAGUCAGUUCAGGGAGAUGGCCCCGUUCCGGAUUUCAGAGACAGCGGCCUCCCCCACAUCCAGGACCCCUGCCUGAAUGGUGGCCGGCACUGCCUGCCAUUGCCCUGGGCCCAUCCACGGGCCCAUCCACGCAUGGGGCUCUGCCCUGGAGCCAGGCCACCCCCCGCAUCAGCAGCCAGUCCACCUGCUGCAAGGAGGCACCCAGCUUAUUUCCCCAGGUGUGAACAGAUGCAGCCGGACCAGGUGUGGCUCAGAGUCUCCACCCUCGGCCAGGGAAGACACCUGUUCACGGGAGGCGGAGUGGCUGGGAGAGGGUUGAGAUCUCUCCUUGGGGCUCCAGGCAGGAGCUGCAGUGGGGGAGGGAGGAAGAGUCCCCAGGCACCGAGCAUCUGUGAAGCACCAGGCAGCUGGAGCUGCCUCUGCGGCCCCUGUCCUCACCCCUGAGAAGGCCAGGCCCGGGCAGGUGCCUGGGCUGGGGCUGCUCCUGGCCAGGCGGGAAGACUGUCAGAUGGAGGAAAGGUCAGGUGGCCGGAAAGCUGGGGACAGGGAGGGAGCAAGUUUGAGGGAGGGACUUAGGGGCAGGCGCCUCCUCCCGGUCAGGCCCCACGUGUCCCCCCAGCCACGCCUACCCACAUCGCCCUGUUGGAGGCUGGGGUGGGGGGGGGUGGGGGAGUUGCGGGGGGCGCAUCCCUAUCCCGGCCCAGCCCGGAGCUAAGGGGCGGGGCACAUGCGUCUUCCGGCCCUGGCCGCCAAUUGGCUGCCGGGCGUGGGAAAGCGUGCACCACCGCCUGGAGCCCAUAAAGGCGCCUCCACCACCUGCGCCGCCGCCGCCGCCUCCCGGCCGCCCUCCGCCCCGCGCGCUCGGUGAGGCCGGUGCUCCACAGUGAAGAGCGUGGCGGUGCGGCGGCAGCGCAGGGCGCUCGUGCGGGGCCGGGCAGGGGCUGGUGGGCGCUCCUUGCCACCUUUCUGCUCUCCCUGCUGUCCGAGAAGUUCGUGCGGUGCCAGCCCAGCUCCCAGCUGGGGACAGAACAGGAAACGUCCCCGGCGAGGCUGGCGGGAGUGGCGGCAGGGGUGUCUGUCGCCUGCGCUGGGCAGGACGCGCGUCCUGCCGGCCUCCCACUCCGCAGCCCUCACCAGCCACCGCACUCCCGCAGCCCGGGCCGCUGAGAGCGCAGCGGAUGGACCUCAGGGAAGGUCUGGCGCGCCGCCUCCGGGAAGCCUUCCGGCCUUCUCCCUGCACCCAGUACUGGGGAGUCUCAGGCCACGGUGAAUGAAGAGCGACGGGCCGGAGAGACCUCGCCCUCUGCCCAGGAGCAGCGCCCAGCAACCCCGCCCACAGGGGACCCGGUGGACGCCCUGGCCACUUUGCCAGGCCCCCCAUCUCCCAGCGAACCAGAGGGGGUUUCCGUUCCCCUCCUGCUUGGUGCUUAGCGCCAGGGCGGGGCGGGGGCUGAGCAGCCCCUCCCUUGGACGGAGCGGCCAGUCUACAUAUUGGAGGAGGGGCUCUGGGGAAAGGGUGUUGUUAGGAAGGCGGUUUGAGGCAGCGGGAGGUGGGGAUGCGCCCGACGGGGAGGGGCAGGUGUGUGGGGAGGGCAUGGGCAGCACCUCCCCAGCCAGGCCCCGCAGCUGGACCCCGGCUCCGUCCAGCCUGGGAAAGGACUCCACGGUUUAUGCUGAAGUGGCGGUGGGGUGGCUGAACGCUGCGCAAUGGAAGGGCAUGGCCCUGUGCUAAUUGCCCCGGGGUGUGGGGCUGUGGAGGCACUGCGGGGGGGUUGUGCUGUGUCAGUUGGGCAAUGGCGGCCAACUGUGGCGUGCAGACCUUGGAGCUGCCCCUCCAUGGAGCUUUAAUAAAGGUACUGGCCCUGCAA